GGAGCAGGUGAACUGUGGCC
rnacentral:siRNA from 1 species